GCUUGCGACGUGCCUAAUAAAUGCAAGUCGAGCGAGGUAGCAAUACCUAGCGGCGAACGGUCGCGUAACACGUAAGCAACCUGCCCCAAAGACCGGGACAACGUUCCGAAAGGAGCGCUAAUACCGGAUGUGCCCAUUGGGUGACAUCACCUGAUGAGUAAACCGAGCAAUCGGCUUUGGGAGGGGCUUGCGGCCUAUCAGCUAGAUGGUGGGGUAACGGCCUACCAUGGCGACGACGGGUAGCUGGUCUGAGAGGAUGGUCAGCCGGAUUGGGACUGAGAUACGGCCCAGACUCCUACGGGGGGCAGCAAUUAGGAAUCUUGCGCAAUGGGCGAAAGCCUGACGCAGCGACGUCGCGUGGGGGAGGAAGGCUUUCGGGUUGUAAACCCCUUUUAUCGAGGAAGAAACAAAUGACGGUACUCGAUGAAUAAGCCCCGGCUAACUCCGUGCCAGCAGCCGCGGUAAUACGGAGGGGGCUAGCGUUGUCCGAAGUUACUGGGCGUAAAGCGCGCGUAGGCGGGUUGGUAAGUCCGC
rnacentral:rRNA from 1 species